UGGGAACCUUCCCUAUGGUUCGGAAUAGCUCAGGGAAACUUGGGGUAAUACCGGAUAAGCCCUUCGGGGAAAGAUUUAUCGACAUUGGAUGGGCCCGCGUCGGAUUAGCUAGUUGGUGAGGUAACGGCUCACCAAGGCAGCGAUCCGUAGCUGGUCUGAGAGGAUGAUCAGCCACACUGGGACUGAGACACGGCCCAGACUCCUACGGGAGGCAG
rnacentral:rRNA from 1 species